rnacentral:sRNA from 1 species
AUAUUACGAGGAGAGGAUCAGGAUGAGAAGCUUCGACUAAGGUUCGACUCGAGCGAAGCGAGAGAACGUUGCCGCAGGCAACGGCCCGAAGGGCGAGGCGCUUUAGCGCCGAGUAAUCCUUCCCCCACCACCA